AUUGAACGCUGGCGGCAGGCCUAACACAUGCAAGUCGAACGAGUGGCGGACGGGUGAGUAAUGUCUGGGAAACUGCCCGAUGGAGGGGGAUAACUACUGGAAACGGUAGCUAAUACCGCAUACCAUCGGAUGUGCCCAGAUGGGAUUAGCUAGUAGGUGGGGUAACGGCUCACCUAGGCGACGAUCCCUAGCUGGUCUGAGAGGAUGACAAGCAAAACUGGAACGUAGAGACGGGACGAACGCCUACGGGAGGCAACAGUGGGGAAUAUUGCACAAAGGGCGCAAGCCUGAUGCAGCCAUGCCGCGUGUAUGAAGAAGGCCGUCGGGUUGUAAAGUACUGUCAGCGAGGAGGCGUUACUCGAAGAAGAAGCACCGGCUAACUCCGUGCCAGCAGCCGCGGUAAUAC
rnacentral:rRNA from 1 species